rnacentral:rRNA from 1 species
CCGCGUGAGGGAUGACGGAUUUUGGUCUGUAAACCUCUUUUCUCAAGAAAGAAGUUCUGACGGUACUUGAGGAAUAAGCAUCGGCUAACUCCGUGCCAGCAGCCGCGGUAAU